GGGGUCUUAGAGACGUCAUGUGUACACACCCCCUAUCCUCAGAACUUCAUGUUGACAACUAUGCAAAGAUGUUGCAAAUGAAAAAUCGUAUAAAAUAUUGCUCUUUGGCAAUUGCUGCGACCAGGUUGUUUUCGUCUGGACCCGUCAAGAACCCAGUCGUGUAUUUUGACAUCGCAGCUGACAACGAACCUCUGGGACGAAUCAUUAUAGAGUUGAAUGCAGCUGCUGUGCCCAAAACAGCAGAGAACUUUAGAGCACUGUGCACUGGGGAACAUGGCUUUGGAUACAAAGGAUCAGUGUUCCACAGAGUGAUUCCUGAGUUCAUGUGUCAGAAUGCUUUUGUGACACAAGCGAUGGCGCACAGGACUACGGGCCAAAAGGUUGAGGGUUUGCCGACCACUCCCAGACAAGCUCACUCUCCCUGCCUGUUCCAUUACACUGGUGUCAGACGUGAUCGGACGCCACAGAUGUGCUAGGCCGGUGAUCGCGUUCCAGUAAGGUGUCGUCCUUUUAAGGCUAGCCCGGGGACAUGCUCUUUGAAAGGAGGGAGUAAGUGUAGUGACCCAGGGCUUUUGGCCAGAGAGUUGAGGGUUUACCGACCACUGCGGACAAGCUCACUCUCCCUGCCUGUUUCAUUACACUACUAUACAUGGACAGCCCUUAUGAAGGUUGUAUUUAUUUACAAUGUUGUGUGGUGGUGUUGUCUUAAAGUAAGAGCACUAACUCACUCUCUGCCCUCAGGGAGGAGAUUUCACGCAUCACAACGGGACUGGAGGGAAGUCCAUAUACGGGACCAAGUUUAAAGACGAGAACUUCAAACUGAAACACAACGGGCCAGGUAUCUUAUCCAUGGCAAAUUCAGGGGCGAACACAAACGGUUCUCAGUUCUUCAUCUGCACAGUUAAAACUGAAUGGUUGAAUGAUAAGCAUGUGGUCUUUGGUCAGGUGAAGGAGGGCAUGGAGGUAGUCUUCAAGAUGGAAUCCUUUGGUUGUCAUGACGGUGGUGUGGUAAAGAAAAUCGCCAUCACGGACUGUGGGGAGAUCAAGUAAAACACACAGACAGACAGGUUGGAGAAGGUCACUGUGGACAAUGACUCUUGGAAACGUCCAAUUUUGUAAAAGUUGUUUAACUCUUCUGUUUUCCUCACCCAAUUUAAAAAAUGACAACCACAAAUACACCAGCUGUCUCUCAUACAUGUAGUCUCUUGUCAGCUGUCUGUCAUACAUGUAGUCUCUUGUCAGCUGUCUCUCAUACAUGUAGUCUCUUGUCAGCUGUCUCUCAUACAUGUAGUCUCUUGUCAGCUGUCUCUCAUACAUGUAGUCUAUUGUCAGCUGUCUGUCAUACAUGUAGUCUCCUUUCAGCUGUCUCUCAUACAUGUAGUCUCUUGUCAGCUGUCUCUCAUACAUGUAGUCUCUUGUCAGCUGUCCCUCAUACAUGUAGUCUCUUGUCAGCUGUCCCUCAUACAUGUAGUCUCUUGUCAUCUGUCCGUCAUACAUGUAGUCUUUUGUCAGCUGUCCCUCAUACAUCUAAUCUCAUUGUCUUUGGACAAUGUGUUCUCCCUUCACACACACACUUACUCUAUAGCAUUUAUACUGUCUGUACUCAUGACAACUUCUCAUGUUCAUAGCCUGUGCUUUAUACAUUCAAGAGUUGUCGUAUGGAGAGGUUUGGACUUUGGAGUAUUUCAACACUGGUACUAAGAUACCUCUGAAAUGGGUGCUUUUUAUUCUAGAUGUCACUAAUAUUUUUCUAAAGAAAAUCAUCUAUAAACUAUUUAAGGCAUGUAUGAUGGACCCGACACCUAUGGAAUGUAUAAAAUAAUGUUGUACAUUUACUGCCAAAUAAAUCUAUGUUUUUAGGUUUUA